rnacentral:lncRNA from 7 species
GAGGAAGUUGCAGAGACGGUUGACUCUAUUGGUGCAGUGACUGUUUAUCCAGAAAAAUAGUGGUUGUUCAGUCAACGUUGCAAGGUUGCCUUUUUGGGACUUUAUUCCAUAUAUCCAAAGCACACUGGAUGUGGCAGGUCUGAAGAAGCAGAACAGGGAUGGGUUCAUUCAUCACCUAUGCUGACCCAAAGGUAAAACAAAACAUCUCAGCCAUAAAGUCCUGUACCUCACCUCCGACACUCCAGUUUUGUGCUUAAGCUUCAGUAGUUCUUGAUGUGAGCAAGCUAUCUUUGCCCAACACGUGGCUCUUAGAGAAUGACAUGAAGGAACGUGAAUUCUAGCUUGAACAGAAGUGAGAAAUCUUUUCUUACCCUGACAUUGUUCCAACAAACUUAGUGUGAAGUUUUACUCCCAUCAGGGGAAAAAAAAAGUGCAGUCUAUGUGAUGGGGGAUGCAGCCGCAGCCUUGGGUCACCAUUUGCUUUCCUGACUGGUGAAUUGCUGGAGCUACCUGAAAGCCCAGUUGUAAGAGGAAUAGUGUUUUCCACGUUGAGUCACCGGAUGGGGAUUGCAAAGAACUCAUUAUCAGCCCUGCAUUUGACUUUCAGUUUGAUUUUUUGGACUGCAGUCCCUACCUGCAAACUGGAAAUCGCCUCUGUGAAGUGCAUGUCAGUAUCAGCUCCUGCACUGAAUCUAUGAGGAAACACGACAGGAAACAGCUGCAGGUGGCUUGGUCAGUCUGGGUAGGUGGUUCUCCCAUGGUCACCUCACCAGAACUGGAUCCAAUCCUAACAAAAUAGAAAUGGUGCAGUCAGACUGCUCCUUUUCCUCUUUUCUCUGGAUAUAUUAUUGCAACACACAUUUUUAUUCUUGAUGAAGUGCGUAUCUUCCUUCUGUUUCCCAAGAUGUGUUCAUUUCCUACCUACAAAUCUGUACUUUUUCUUUUAGAGAAAAAUUGUGUUCCCUAGGAUUUUUUCCUUGCAAAUCUGUCUUAAUCUAUACCUGCCUACAACAUGAACUGUUCCUACUGUACUACCCUGAACUCUUAGACUGAAUCCUGUCGUCUAAUUGUGGCUGCCCCAGUUCAAUUGCUGUUUGUUACUGUGGGUGCAUCUCUUGAUUGUUGCUGCACUGAAAUCACGCAUGAUGUUUUUGCUUUUUCACCUAACGGUUGGGAAAAGCAUUGUUUUCUCUUCUGUCAAGACUUAUAUCCUGCUUAGCAUUUGCCCAUCACUCCUCUGUUCUAGGAAAUGUAAUAUGAAUCUUCCUCUCCUGUGUAUUUUCUUCAGCCUGAGCACCAGAGACGUCUGAGUCACAACAGAUCUAUGAUAAAAUUUUUGGUUUCUUUGCUCUUCUCCUUUGUGGGAUGUGUAUUACUGCAGCUGAUAAAUACACACUCUCCUCUCCACAUACAAGCAGUUUGACAUUUGAACAAUGAAGUGUGUUCCCUUGGUCAUUUCCUAAAUAAUUUCCACGAUGAAACUGUCAGCUCUUAGCCUCUGCUACCUCCAAGCCAACUGCAACCUUGUGCAAUUUCUGCUAGGUAUUAUUUUGCUCCUUUUGAAAUGCUUUCCUUUACUCUUCACCAUUCGACCUUUUUUUCUCAUCUGAAUAGAGAACUGACAUUAUAAUUUCUCAUCCGCUGUCCUUUCAUGCAUAAUGGCAGUUAUUGCCAGGCCCUAUUCCACCCCACUCACUCCUGCGUCUCAUGGUUCUGAGGUCCCUUGGGACUGCUCCCUUCUACUUCAUGAUCAGGGCACACUGUAUUCCUGAAGUCUGUCCCAUCCUGGUGAUUGGUCUUUACUGUGUACAGACAUAGGGUGUGGGCAGAGCUUGGACAACACGUCUACAAAGAGUGUGAUCUCUAUUAUAAAGAGCAAAACCAGCCCAAGAGAUGUGGAUCUGCACUGUCACCCAUGCAGUGCUAUCAGUACUUCUCCACCAAGCAGUGGCUGAGUCCUUUUAAAAUGGUCUUAAUUUUGUGUCCCCAAAGACCUUCUGCCAUGGGGAAGAGUGAUCCUUCUCUGGAAAGAAUACAAGCACAGAGAUAUUUAAUGCAGUGGUGCAGUGUACAGAUGCGGAUCAUAGGGCUUGAAGGAAUUUCAAGAGAACACAACAUCUUUUCCACUGCAGUGAAAAUGGUUCAACUGCAUAUGAACACUUGGCAUCCAUCCCCAAAGGCUUCAAAAGGCAGAGGUUCCCCUUCAGCAUGCAUUGCCCUGUAGCAUUGCUUUUGCCAUCUUCUUGCUCUGCCAGAGGCAAGGAAUGCUGAUUGUUAUCCCCCUGGCAUUCCAAGUUGCACUUGAAAAUUGUUGCUGGUUUUGGACAGCCCUACAUUUUGGAACAGUUUUGUGUGGUUUUCCAGUUGGUGCCUUACCAGUGCCUCUCCAUGAAGCAUUGUGCACAGCUGGUGGCACACUGCUCUGUUUCCCCAUGAUCGAGGUAUUUCAGGCCACUUCAUGGCACACAGAUAUUGCAGGCAGCACCCAAUGCUCCAGGGGAUGUUUGCAUCUUCUUGCACCUCCUGCUCUGUAAGUUGCUGCCUGUCCUGCAUGGCUCAGCAGCUCAGCCUCAACAAAAAAAAAAAAAGGUUUAUUUUCUCCUUCAUCCCAGCUUGCCAGGAACUUUUAUGCACUUUCAAAUCUGUCUCUGGAAACUCGUUGGAGAAAUGGGCAAAUUCUGUGAUCCUUCAGGUGUUGACAACAGAU